AGAACUCUGAUGCAUCGAUGCCGCGUGAGUGAAGAAGGCCUUUGGGUUGUAAAGCUCUUUUGUAGGGGAAGAUAAUGACUGUACCCUAAGAAUAAGGUCCGGCUAACUUCGUGCCAGCAGCCGCGGUAAUACGAAGGGACCUAGCGUAGUUCGGAAUUACUGGGCGUAAAGCGCGCGUAGGCCGUUGAGUUAGUUAAUUGUGAAAUCCCAAAGCUUAACUUUGGAACUGCAAUUAAAACUGCUCGACUAGAGUUUGAUAGAGGAAAGCGGAAUACAUAGUGUAGAGGUGAAAUUCGUAGAUAUUAUGUAGAACACCAGUUGCGAAGGCGGCUUUCUGGGUCAACACUGACGCUGAGGCGCGAAAGUAUGGGUAGCAAAGAGGAUUAGAUACCCUCGUAGUCCAUACCAUAAACGAUGAUUGCUAGAUGUUGGAAAUUUAUUUUCAGUAUCGCAGCUAACGCAUUAAGCAAUCCGCCUGGGGAGUACGACCGCAAGGUUAAAACUCAAAUGAAUUGACGGGGACCCGCACAAGCGGUGGAGCAUGUGGUUUAAUUCGAAGAUACGCGCAGAACCUUACCAACCCUUGACAUGUCUGUCGCGAGUUUAGGAAACUAGACUUUUCGGUUCGGCCGGACAGACCCAGGUGCUGCAUGUUUGUCGUAGGUCGGUCGUGAGAUGUGGGUUAAUCCCGCAAGAGGGGACCCUAUUUUGUUGCUCAGUCUCUGGGCCUGAAAUGCCGGUACCGGGAGGGGGA
rnacentral:rRNA from 1 species